AUGCGCCCUGAGCUCGAGGUGGAGAUCGUCAGCGACGAGGAGAUGGCCAUCAUAGAGGCCGCGCUCGCCGCCGCCGCCGCAGCGCGGCCCCUCCUCUCCUCCGCCGCCGUCCGCGGCGCCGCCACCCUCUCCUGCGCGGCCUUCCCGCCCGCCGGCGACAUCGAGGACUCCGCGCCGCCGCCGCGGAGGUCGCUGCUGUCCCGGUUCCGGGAGCGCCGGGCCCUCUCCGUCACCGACAUCACCGCCACGGAGUGGUGCGACAAGCAGAUGGAGUUCGUGCUGGAGCACGGCAAGCCGGAGAGGACCGAGGCCAUGAAGGCCGGCUCUGACCGCCACGCCCAGCUCGAGCAAGAGGUUAUUGAGAGAGUCGAUAUUGCCGUUAGAUCUGCAGAAGAAUCGUGGGCAGUCAAAUUCAUGAACUUUAUCAUUGGAUCAAACCAAUUAUUGUUCAACGGCAUGACACGUGAACUUCCAGUGAUUGGGGUUGUUGAAGGUUCAUGGAUGGUAGGAAUUAUUGAUGAACUCCGAAUGCCUAUGGAUGGAAUUUCUUUUCAUCCAGUUCUAGUGGAUACAAAGACACGUUUCAAAGCAACAAUUCCCUCGGAAGCACAGAAAAGAAAUGGAAGGCUUCAGCUGAUGUGUUAUAAGUACCUAUGGGACAAUUCAAUUUCUGAGAAAUUCCCAACAGAGAAUUUCUUCAGCUAUUUUGACUUGAACCCCAACUUCUUGUUAUCAGAUGACGUCAAGCGGUACAUUAGCUCAAUUGGUUUCAAUGCACAGACUUUCGGGGAUGUAUUGAAAUACUACAAGAUUACGUGUCAUACACUGUCACAAUCUCAAGAACAGCUGAUCUUGAGAUAUGAACUGCAGGAAGAUCAUUCCCUGCUAGAAGAAUACCAGUUCUCUUAUGAUGCUCAGUGGUUCAAGGAUCAAAUCCAAGAAGCCUUUAACUUCUGGCGGGGGGCACGAGAACCUAAAUAUGUGACUGAAGAGGAGGGUUGGAAAUGUAAAUUCUGCAAAUUCGCACCGAGUUGCCCGAAGAUGCCUUCCACCUCAAGGUGUUGA
rnacentral:rRNA from 1 species